CUAAUUAAAUUUAUAAGUUUCAGAGAAGUGUAAUAUCUGUUCUUAUUAGUUUAAUAUCUGAUAUAUAUGGGCUACGUGCCAAUCUCGAUAUUAAAUUAAUUUUUGUGGGGGAGUGUCCAUCCAUGAUAGCUUGUUACUGGGAUUUUAUCAUGUCGCCCUUGCGCUACACUGCUGUUGGAGACUAGCACACUCAUG
rfam:Ananas comosus cultivar MD2 ACMD2_Scaffold_4225, whole genome shotgun sequence.